rnacentral:rRNA from 1 species
UACAGAGGUCUCAAGCGUUGUUCGGAUUCAUUGGGCGUAAAGGGCGCGUAGGCGGCGAGGUAAGUCGGGUGUGAAAUCUCAGAGCUCAACUCUGAAACUGCACUCGAUACUGCUUUGCUAGAGGACUGGAGAGGAGAUUGGAAUUCACGGUGUAGCAGUGAAAUACGUAGAGAUCGUGAGGAAGACCAGUGGCGAAGGCGGAUCUCUGGGCAUCUCCUGACGCUGAGGCGCGAAAGCGUGGGGAGCAAACGGG